rnacentral:rRNA from 1 species
UACGAAGGGGGCUAGCGUUGCUCGGAAUGACUGGGCGUAAAGGGCGCGUAGGCGGACUGCACAGUCAGGCGUGAAAUUCCUGGGCUUAACCUGGGGACUGCGUCUGAGACGUGUGAUCUAGAGUGAGGAAGAGGGUCGUGGAAUUUCCAGUGUAGAGGUGAAAUUCGUAGAUAUUGGAAAGAACACCGGUGGCGAAGGCGGCGACCUGGUCCUUGACUGACGCUGAGGCGCGAAAGCCAGGGGAGCGAACGGG